GUGCUUGCUUCGGCAGCACAUAUACGAAAAUUGGAACAAUACAGAGAAGAUUAGCACGUCCCCUGCUCAAGGAUGACACGCAAAUUCAUGAGGCUUUCCAUAUAUAU
ensembl:snRNA U6 U6 spliceosomal RNA